rnacentral:lncRNA from 1 species
GUAAUUGCUGUCAGUUUGGUCAAAGCUUGAAUAACUCUUCUGUGUCCAGACAGAAGUAACCCUUGCCUUGAGGACUGUGUCAAAUAUAAGAACUCAACUCUCCUGGACUCCAGCAAAGCAAUGACCAUAGAUAAAAUGCCACAGAUCUCAAAUCUGUCAGCAAUAUUAGAACCUGUGCUGGAAGAUUUUCAAGACCAAUACACUAGAAGAAAUAAACCAUCAAAAUGCAAUUACAGUUCUUCAGAAUUAAAUGUUUCAACUACUCUAGCAGGGAAACAAGUCUGUAAAAUUACAGCUGUGAGAGAGAGAACUCCAGACCUAAAAACUGGCAUGCGCUGUCCUUCACCAACAGGACCAGAAAGAAAGGUGAAAUAUUU